UGGAGCAAAUCUCAAAAAGCCGUCCCAGUUCGGAUCGCAGGCUGCAACCCGCCUGCGUGAAGUUGGAAUCGCUAGUAAUCGCGGAUCAGCAUGCCGCGGUGAAUACGUUCCCGGGCCUUGUACACACCGCCCGUCACACCAUGAGAGUCGGGAACACCCGAAGUCCGUAGCCUAACCGCAAGGGGGGCGCGGCCGAAGGUGGGUUCGAUAAUUGGGGUGAAGUCGUAACAAGGUACC
rnacentral:rRNA from 1 species